rnacentral:rRNA from 1 species
AGAGUUUGAUCAUGGCUCAGGAUGAACGCUAGCGGCAGGCUUAACACAUGCAAGUCGAGGGGUAACAGAGGUAGCUUGCUACUUGCUGACGACCGGCGCACGGGUGAGUAACGCGUAUGCAACCUACCUUUUACUGGGGGAUAGGCAGAAGAAAUUCUGAUUAAUACCCCAUAAUAUUGAGAUUCGGCAUUGAAUUUUGAUUAAAGUUUCGGCGGUAAAAGAUGGGCAUGCGUUUUAUUAGUUAGUUGGUAAGGUAACGGCUUACCAAGACUACGAUAAAUAGGGGUCCUGAGAGGGAGAUCCCCCACACUGGUACUGAGACACGGACCAGACUCCUACGGGAGGCAGCAGUGAGGAAUAUUGGACAAUGGGCGAGAGCCUGAUCCAGCCAUGCCGCGUGCAGGAAGACGGCCCUAUGGGUUGUAAACUGCUUUUAUACAGGAAGAAACCUUCUCACGUGUGAGAAGCUGACGGUACUGUAAGAAUAAGCACCGGCUAACUCCGUGCCAGCAGCCGCGGUAAUACGGAGGGUGCAAGCGUUAUCCGGAAUCAUUGGGUUUAAAGGGUCCGUAGGCGGAUUAUUAAGUCAGAGGUGAAAUCCCACAGCUCAACUGUGGAACUGCCUUUGAUACUGGUAGUCUUGAGUUAUAAGGAA